rnacentral:rRNA from 1 species
GCAUUUAUCCGUGAACUGCGAAUGGCUCAUUAAAUCAGUUAUCGUUUAUUUGAUAGUACCUUACUACUUGGAUAACCGUGGUAAUUCUAGAGCUAAUACAUGCUAAAAGCCCCGACUUCGGAAGGGGUGUAUUUAUUAGAUUAAAAACCAAUGCCCUUCGGGGCUCUUUGGUGAUUCAUAAUAACUUAACGAAUCGCAUGGCCUUGUGCCGGCGAUGGUUCAUUCAAAUUUCUGCCCUAUCAACUUUCGAUGGUAGUAUAUGGGACUACCAUGGUUUCAACGGGUAACGGGGAAUUAGGGUUCUAUUCCGGAGAGGGAGCCUGAGAAACGGCUACCACAUCCAAGGAAGGCAGCAGGCGCGCAAAUUACCCAAUCCCGACACGGGGAGGUAGUGACAAUAAAUACUGAUGCAGGGCUCUUUUGGGUCUUGUAAUUGGAAUGAGUACAAUUUAAAUCCCUUAACGAGGAACAAUUGGAGGGCAAGUCUGGUGCCAGCAGCCGCGGUAAUACCAGCUCCAAUAGCGUAUAUUAAAGUUGUUGCAGUUAAAAAGCUCGUAGUUGAACCUUGGGCCUGGCUGGCCGGUCCGCCUCACCGCGUGCACUGGUCCGGCCGGGUCUUUCCUCCUGGGGAGCCGCAUGCCCUUCACUGGGUGUGUCGGGGAACCAGGACUUUUACUUUGAAAAAAUUAGAGUGUUCAAAGCAGGCCUAUGCUCGAAUACAUUAGCAUGGAAUAAUAGAAUAGGACGUGUGGUUCUAUUUUGUUGGUUUCUCGGACCGCCGUAAUGAUUAAUAGGGGAUGGUCGGGGGCAUCAGUAUUCAAUUGUCAGAGGUGAAAUUUUUGGAUUUAUUGAAGACUAACUACUGCGAAAGCAUUUGCCAAGGAUGUUUUCAUUAAUCAGGGAACGAAAGUUAGGGGAUCGAAGACGAUCAGAUACCGUCGUAGUCUUAACCAUAAACUAUGCCGACUAGGGAUCGGGCGAUGUUAUUUUUUUUGACUCGCUCGGCACCUUACGAGAAAUCAAAGUCUUUGGGU